rnacentral:rRNA from 1 species
UGGGGAAUAUUGGACAAUGGGGGCAACCCUGAUCCAGCCAUGCCGCGUGUGUGAAGAAGGCCUUUUGGUUGUAAAGCACUUUAAGCAGGGAGGAGAGGCUAAUGGUUAAUACCCAUUAGAUUAGACGUUACCUGCAGAAUAAGCACCGGCUAACUCUGUGCCAGCAGCCGCGGUAAUACAGAGGGUGCGAGCGUUAAUCGGAAUUACUGGGCGUAAAGCGAGUGUAGGUGGCUCAUUAAGUCACAUGUGAAAUCCCCGGGCUUAACCUGGGAACUGCAUGUGAUACUGGUGGUGCUAGAAUAUGUGAGAGGGAAGUAGAAUUCCCAGGUGUAGCGGUGAAAUGCGUAGAGAUCUGGAGGAAUACCGAUGGCGAAGGCAGCUUCCUGGCAUAAUAUUGACACUGAGAUUCGAAAGCGUGGGUAGCAAACAGGAUUAGAUACCCUGGUAGUCCACGCCGUAAAACGAUGUCUACUAGCCGUUGGGGUCCUUGAGACUUUAGUGGCGCAGUUAACGCGAUAAGUAGACCGCCUGGGGAGUACGGCCGCAAGGUU